UUUACGACACAAAUUCACCACUCUACGUAGUUGCGACUUACCUUGAUUAUACAGGAAAAUAUUAAGGAACCCCUGAAAAAGAAAUAACAAUAAUAAAAAUAUAAUUACUAUUGCUAGAAAUUAGUUAAAUUUAUUUAAUAAUACUUACCAACACAAUUUCUGCUCUUCUAAGUACGUCCAUGUUUGUUUUGAUUUUUCUUUUGACAAUUCCUAUGUGUUACCCUAUCUAGUCAUUUCGUUCUGCGCAUGCAAUAGUAGCUUUGUCUCAUUUUCACGCAAGGGUUAAGGGGAUAGAAAAACUUCUACUAGCGCAUGCGCAGGAAUAUAUUAGACACGACUGUUCAUCCACUAGAUGAACUUAAAUGAAUUUUUCAAAGGUUCAAGUCUAAGAUAAGUAGUAUUAAUACAGGAUGAGAUGAAAGUUUAUUUAAAUAAAUAAUUUACGAUAUUAGAUUGAUAAGGAAAAAGAUUAGAUUAAUAAGUUAAGAUAAAUAAUAAGAUUAAUUAGGAAUUUAGGAAUUAGAUUGAGAUUGAGAUUAGAGUAAUAGAAGAGGAAAUAGACUGAGAGAUAUAAGACUGUAGUAGUAGUAUGAAUGUGUGAGUACGAUUUCUUGGACGUGGAUGAGGGGGGUUAAUUAUCUGUGAUAGGGAUGGAAAAUAGAUGUGGGUGGAAAAAUAGUGAUCUCACUCAGAGGUAGUGGUAACUAUUUACUUAGUUAAUAGGAGAAUGACUAGGAACUAGCCUAAGGGAUUUUAUGGUCAUUCUUAAGUUUGAUAACUUAGAAAAUAGAAGUGUUAACGGCGAGUGAGUUUUAACGAACAGUUUUUUUUAAAUUUAAAAUCUAUCGAUUUUAAGUGAUUGGAAUUUAGUAAAGAUAAAGAGUGAAUUUCAUCCACUAAAUUGGACAGGAAAUCUGGACAAAUUGUAGAAACUUUUUUUUGGCGAUAUUAAUAUAUAUAUAGAUAUAUAUAGCAGCAGAGGUUCAGGUGAAGAUCCAAAGAUCAGGAAUUUUAGUAGCAGAAGCCUGAGCCUCUGCGGAGUUUUUGGUUGCCUCCUUCGAACUUUUAAAUUCAUGACUUUGAGGAAGGACAUUCAACAAAGUGGGAGUAUUCCUUUGUCUGGAACAAAGGAAAUAACUACAAAGACCCUUAAAGUAGUUUCAAAGAGGGUACUUCAUAGCUACAAGUUAUAGAUAUAUAUAGAUAUCCCUCGAAGAAAUAAAACUAUGGGAUUUAAAUAUAAACAAAAAAAUAGUGUCCAGUAAAGAAAGUUGAAGAAGAAAAGUGAACUUUAAAUUUUUUUUAUUUAAUCUAAGUAACGUAAAAGUAAAAAUCAGUGAAUCUAGUUCUCUAAAAUUUGUUUUACCUAAUUGAAUUUGUUUUUUUUUUUUAUUUUAUUUAAAUUCGGUUUAAAUUAAGAAAAAAAAGUGAUUUUAUAGGCUAAAAAGAAAAAAAAAAAAAAAUUGAAAGAAUUAAAUUCAGUGGUGGCGAAAGUGCUACACCUGGGUCUCAACGUGCUGCCGGCAGAACGACGAGGGACUAAGGAAUAUCGUAAGUAAGAACCUCUUGUUUUUUUUAGUUUGAUAAAAGAUCAAAAAGUAAAAGCCUCUAAGGUCAAUUUUUUUAUGAAUUUAGAUUUAAACCUCUUUUUUAUAUAUACAUUUUUUUAAUUUUUUUAGUUCAAUUAAUUUUAUUUGAAAGUAAAAAUAAGAGAACCCGAUUAAGUUUUUUUUGUUAUUUUUAAUGACCGAAAAAUUAAUAAAUAAAAUUAUAAUUUGAAGUAACAUUGAAAAUAAAAUGGUGUACUAAUUGGAGAAGCUAGUGGUGUGUGGAGGCUUGGCAAGGCCGUCCAGAUGCUAUUCUGAAUUUUCUUUCGACAUGACAGACUAACUUUUGAAACGGACGAAUUUGUUAAGUCAUUUUAGGGGCUAUUUCCGCUACAUUCGGCCAUGGAGAUAGCGAAGGAAGUAUCUUCAUGAUACUUGGGCGGGCUGGCCAGACUUUCGUCAAUAACAUCAGACGAACGUUUGGGAUUCAGUGUGACGAUAUUUGGUUGGGUUAGAAAGAGGUGCUUUAGAAAGAAUAAGUUUACAUUUGUAGAUUUUUUUUGUAUUUUAGUUUUAGUUAGGGUUUAGUUUUCUUUUAUUUUUU